rnacentral:rRNA from 1 species
UACGUAGGGGGCGAGCGUUGUCCGGAGUUACUGGGCGUAAAGGGCGUGCAGGCGGUGGUGCGCGUUUUGUGUGACAGCGCAAGGCUUAACUUUGCGAGGAUACGAAAGACGGCAGCACUUGAGAGCGCGAGAGGGACACGGAAUUCCGGGUGGAGUGGUGAAAUGCGUAGAGAUCCGGAGGAACACCGAAGGCGAAGGCAGUGUCCUGGCGCGCAUCUGACGCUGAGGCGCGAAAGCCAGGGGAGCGAACGGG